rnacentral:ncRNA from 1 species
UAAAGAUUGCUUUUAUAGAUUUAAAAUUUGAUUAUGGUUUAAAAAUUUUAAAAUAAUAUUAUUUAAGUUUAAUUUAUGUAGUGGGCAAUGUUAAUUUACCCCGGUAAUUAAUUAUUUGUAUAAUACUUGUUCCAGAAUAAUCGGCUAGGCUUGUUAAAAUUUAUACUUUAUUUUGUUUUAAUUAUAAUUUUAAGUAGUGGUUUUUAUAAUUAUAGGUUAAAUUUUAAUUAAUUUAAGUUAAAAGUUAUAAUUUUAAGUUUUGGAAAACGAAUUAGAUUAGUACCUAAUUAGUCAAAAGUUAAAAGAGCAGGAGUAAAGUGGUAUUUAAACUGAAAGAAUAUUGGCAGAUUUUCUAAAUUAUCUUUGGAGGUUGAGUAAUAAUUGAGAACCCUCAUUAACUACUUUUUAGUUUGUCUCAUGUAUGAUCGUUUAUUUUAUACUUAAGGUAUAUAAUAAAAAAUUUUUAUUUAAUAAAAUAGAUAUAUAUUUGGUUUAUGUAAAAGUUUAAUUUGACCUACAAUAGUAUAAUUUUGUGGAUUUAUAAUUUAGUAAUUAUAAUGAAAAUGUAAAAGACAGUAAAAAAAUUUUUAUGAUUUUUUGAAGAUUAUUUAGAUGUGGUACAAAUCAUCCAUCAAUUGCCCAAAGGGGAGUAAGUUGUAGUAAAGUAGAUUUAGGGGAACCUAAAUCUAAUAAU